ACAAACUUGAUGUCAGAAAGGAACGAAACUUUCAAUCUUAUUGGCAUACCAUAGUCAAUUUUCCAAGUUUUCCAUGUUAUUUUUACGACAUAAAUGAUCUUUAACUCUCUCGGUUAUCACCUUUUUUCUCCCAUUCUCCUCUUUCCGACAUACCAAGACAAUCUGUUAUAUUUCCAGGUCAAUGAGCUGGUGGUGUUGAUAGUGAGGUAUCCAUGUACCCAUGCAUGUGAAACGCCAUUACGCAACCUGGUUGGCUUCAUCCUAGUGGGGAU
rnacentral:lncRNA from 1 species